GGGGCCGUAGUCUAGCUUGGUAGGAUUGGCGCUUGGGGUGCGUCCGACCGGGGUUCAAAUCCUCGCGGCCCCA
rnacentral:tRNA from 1 species